rnacentral:lncRNA from 1 species
AGCCUGCCUGCUGCCAGUUCUCCCUACUUCUGCCAGUGAUGACAUUCAGCUUGCUCCUCCACACAGGAUACAGCACUGAUUCCUCAUUAUGUAAGGCAGUCUAGGUCAAGUGUAGGAGAGACACUGCUGGCCUGAGCAAGCUAGUGGAUUGCUCCCUGAGCUUCAUGCUUCAUGAGGUCUGGAAGCUGGAUCCUGAUCUUUGCUACAUCUGCUUGGCACAAGAAAUUGGCCAGGUGGACAUCAAGCUCUUUCAGCGUCUUUUCUAAAAUGGAUUUCUUCUCUGCUCCUUGUCUGAGGCUGCUCCAAGCUUCUGCUGUCAACUGGUAGUCCACCCAAAAACUCCCUCACCACCCAGCCCAGCAAAAAAACUGAAACCUUUCCCCAGUCCUAAGCAGCCCAAAAGUAUUCACAUCCAGCAUUCAGCUUUCAGUAUGCCUGGCAAGGCUGAAGUAGGCAGGGAGGUAUGAGGAGAACACCUGCAUCUCACUCCCUGGACCAUUUACUUAAAGACAAUAUUGAUUUCAAGCUUCUCAUUAACUUGACAGAAAGAUGAAAAUGUUUGAGGAAGUGAGGGUGGAAUAGGAAGAAUUUGGUCAAGUAAGAAUAGGAAAAAAGGGAGAGAAAAUCUGGAUAUAGUUUUCAUAUGUUUUCCUAUGACUUUCUCCAGACUAAAUUCCUAUCUCUAUCUUCAGGCUUUCCCAUUUUGAGAAUCAGUAUUUCACAACUGUUUCCAUAGACAUUAUAUGUCAUUUUACCAUCCCACAGCUUAUGGAAUGAGAAUUAAUUUGCACUAUAAGGGACAAAAGAGGAACUCUGUUGUAA